UUCAAAGUCCAGGGGCCGCGCCAGGUACAAGCGCCCUGAGGACGCAUCCAGCGCGAAGGUGCCCUCGGGGUCGGCACCGCCCACCAAUGUGUAGGGUCAUGAUAUGCUGCAAGAGGAAGCUGGAGAGUUCCCCUUUCUCAGCCAGAAAGUGUGCUCAGAGAGAAAGCUGGCCAAGGAUUUCUGAUUGUUGCCCAGACCCUUGACAGAAAUGAUCUGUGCCAGUGUUUACUCUCCUGAGAGACACCAAGACCCUGCCAUGGCUGAACCCUGGAAACAGCUCCUGCUCCAACUCUCUACUGUGGCUGUGGGCCCGGAUAUCCCAGGAGACGGACUUCCCCUGCAUCAAUCAUGGCAGGCAGCAGCACAGCUGUGACACCAUCUCCAGAAGCUGUUAAAGACCUUUGCCCUCUGACUCGCUGCAGGAAGAAAGCAAUAAACAGUGGUCAGGGGAAGUUGUCAGGAAGUGACCCCAAAAGGCACAGGGGCCACUAACUGGAAAUAGGCAAGGCAGAAGUGAAUUUCCUGGCCUGUACAACCCCUGCUCAGAGGUUUCACUGCAAAUAUAGUCUCCAUUUUUAGCAGA